AGCGGCGGACGGGUGAGUAACGCGUGGGUAACCUGCCCUAUACACACGGAUAUCAUACCGAAAGGUAUGCUAAUACGAGAUAAUAUAAGAGAUUCACAUGGACUUCUUAUCAAAGCUGAGGCGGUAUAGGAUGGACCCGCGUCUGAUUAGCUAGUUGGUAAGGUAACGGCUUACCAAGGCGACGAUCAGUAGCCGACCUGAGAGGGUGAUCGGCCACAUUGGAACUGAGACACGGUCCAAACUCCUACGGGAGGCAGCAGUGGGGAAUAUUGCACAAUGGGCGAAAGCCUGAUGCAGCAACGCCGCGUGAGUGAUGAAGGCCUUCGGGUCGUAAAACUCUGUCCUCAAGGAAGAUAAUGACGGUACUUGAGGAGGAAGCCCCGGCUAACUACGUGCCAGCAGCCGCGGUAAUACGUAGGGGGCUAGCGUUAUCCGGAUUUACUGGGCGUAAAGGGUGCGUAAGUGGUCUCUUAAGUCAGGAGUGAAAGGCUACGGCUUAACCGUAGUAAGCUCUUGAAACUGGGAGACUUGAGUGCAGGAGAGGAAAGUGGAAUUCCUAGUGUAGCGGUGAAAUGCGUAGAUUUAGGAGGAACACCAGUAGCGAAGGCGGCUUUCUGGACUGUAACUGACACUGAGGCACGAAAGCGUGGGGGAGCAAACAGGAUUAGAUACCCUGGUAGUCCACGCCGUAACGAUGAGUACUAGUGU
rnacentral:rRNA from 1 species